CUUCAGUGCCACGGGAACCCGCACGCGUGCUGGGUUGAGAGGAAGGCAAAGUGCCUUCGACCGUCGAACCUGAACCGGAUAAUGCCGGCGUAGGGAGGCUUCCUACUCGUGAG
rnacentral:ncRNA from 2 species